UAUUAUAGCCUAUGUAAAUAUGAAUUAAGCUUGAGUAGUAAUUGUUAAGAUCUUGAAACUCAAAGAAUUUGGCGGUUUUUUAGUCCUUUUAGAGGAAUCUGUUCAGUAAUUGAUAGUACACGAUUUUCUUUACUUUCUCUKGUAAUUCAGUUUGUAUACCGCCGUCAUAAGAUUAUUUUAAUGAGGGAUAUAAAAUUUCUUUAUUUAUAAUUGUAGGAUAUGUCAGGUCAAGGUGCAGUUGAUGGGAAAGAUGUAAUGGAUUACAAUAAUAUUAAUUAUAUGGAUUGGAUUGAGAAAGUGGUUUCAUGAAGGUGGAUUUAAUUGUAAGAUUUGUUAAGGAAUAACAGUUUGAUUUGGGCUCUAAAAUGUGWACAUAUCCCCCGCACCUCCCGUUGUAAUAUGAG
rnacentral:rRNA from 1 species